GCAAGUCGAACGAGACCUUCGGGUCUAGUGGCGCACGGGUGCGUAACGCGUGGGAAUCUGCCCUUGGGUUCGGAAUAACAGUUGGAAACGACUGCUAAUACCGGAUGAUGACGUAAGUCCAAAGAUUUAUCGCCCAGGGAUGAGCCCGCGUAGGAUUAGCUAGUUGGUGAGGUAAAGGCUCACCAAGGCGACGAUCCUUAGCUGGUCUGAGAGGAUGAUCAGCCACACUGGGACUGAGACACGGCCCAGACUCCUACGGGAGGCAGCAGUGGGGAAUAUUGGACAAUGGGCGAAAGCCUGAUCCAGCAAUGCCGCGUGAGUGAUGAAGGCCUUAGGGUUGUAAAGCUCUUUUACCCGGGAUGAUAAUGACAGUACCGGGAGAAUAAGCUCCGGCUAACUCCGUGCCAGCAGCCGCGGUAAUACGGAGGGAGCUAGCGUUGUUCGGAAUUACUGGGCGUAAAGCGCACGUAGGCGGCGAUCUAAGUCAGAGGUGAAAGCCCGGGGCUCAACCCCGGAAUAGCCUUUGAGACUGGAUUGCUUGAAUCCAGGAGAGGUGAGUGGAAUUUCGAGUGUAGAGGUGAAAUUCGUAGAUAUUCGGAAGAACACCAGUGGCGAAGGCGGCUCACUGGACUGGUAUUGACGCUGAGGUGCGAAAGCGUGGGGAGCA
rnacentral:rRNA from 1 species